GCAGAGCACUCCUACGGGGGCAGCAGUGGGGAAUAUUGCACAAUGGGGGAAACCCUGAUGCAGCCAUGCCGCGUGUGUGAAGAAGGCCUUCGGGUUGUAAAGCACUUUCAGUAGGGAGGAAGGUAGUGUAGUUAACACCUGCAUUAUUUGACGUUACCUACAGAAGAAGCACCGGCUAACUCCGUGCCAGCAGCCGCGGUAAUACGGAGGGUGCGAGCGUUAAUCGGAAUUACUGGGCGUAAAGCGCAUGCAGGCGGCCUGUUAAGUCAGAUGUGAAAGCCCGGGGCUUAACCUCGGAAUUGCAUUUGAAACUGGCAGGCUAGAGUCUUGUAGAGGGGGUAGAAUUUCAGGUGUAGCGGUGAAAUGCGUAGAGAUCUGAAGGAAUACCAGUGGCGAAGGCGGCCCCCUGGACAAAGACUGACGCUCAGAUGCGAAAGCGUGGGGAGCAAACAGGAUUAGAUACCCUGGUAG
rnacentral:rRNA from 1 species